GGCCCGAUGGUCUAGAGGUAUGAUUCUCGCUUAGGGUGUGAGAGGUCCCGGGUUCAAUUCCCGGUCGGGCCC
rfam:Nematostella vectensis strain CH2 x CH6 NEMVEscaffold_18_Cont3434, whole genome shotgun sequence.